rnacentral:lncRNA from 1 species
UAUUGAUAUUUUUUUUUAAUAUUUCAUAAGAUGAAUUUUUUUAGCUAUUGUUUGAUAGAUUUUUCUUUUAAUUUUUUUCUUUAGUCAUUCACAUUUCUACACGAUUUUGGCUGCAAAGAUAUAUAAAGGAGUAAUUUAUGAAGGGGCUAUAUUCUAUGUUGAUACUGUUAAUUAUAUUUUCAGCUAAUUAAAAAUUGUAAACACAAUGGGAACGUCCACGCUUGAACUUAAUACAAACCACUCCAUCAUUGAAGCCAAAAAGACAAUUGAAAAUUGUAAACACAAUGGGAACGUCCACGUUUGAACUUAAUACAAACCACUCCAUCAUUGAAGCGAAAAAGGAAAUAUAAAUGCAUUUUGAAUAAUAAAUAAA